UUACUUUUGACAGAAUUGAUGUGCAGUUGAUCUUUGUAUCGUCAACUUCCAAGAAUCACAGUGGUCAUUGGGUUUGGUACAUCAUUUGUGGCCGUUGUAGGUUUUACAGUGAUUUUCUCGUCAGAGAAUGCGGAUACCAAAGAGAAAUGAAGAGAGGAGAGAGAGAAGAAAGAGAGCAGAGAGCAAAAGAAAUAGAGAGAAAAGGAAAAGAGAAAUAGAAGAGAGUGAAUAAAAAAGCACAAUAAAUGACAUUAGGGACUGAUCUUUAUGUUAGACACGUGAAUAGGCAUUGAUCCGCACUUUAAGCCUUGUGUACUGUUUCGUUGAUUUAGGACGAGUUUUAUUUUUUGACAGUUCUGAGUUUUGUUUCCUUUGCAUUUUUCCUUGUGGUUGGUUAUUUUUACUAUGUCACAGUUUUGUAUCAGGCAAAUGACGCAUAAGUAGAUAUUGAAUCAAUGUCCUUGUCCCGUGAGGCGAUAAGUCAAAUUAGAGAAAAUGUCGUUGAGAUUGGAAAGUAUGAAUACGAGAUAAUACAUUUUUUUAAAUGAAUAUUUUCGGUUUAUUGAUUAGUGCCUACAUCGCUUUAUAGUCGAGUAAUUGCACUGUUCUAGAAAUAAUCGUACCUUAUUAUACGUUCUUUUGAACGAUCACUUUUACUUCUAUAUGACGGACUGAAAUACAACACAUUUUAGGGAACGCUUUGAAGAUAUAGAUUGCAUGUGGGAGACAUUCGAGAAGAAGUUAUGGGGUCAUGUUUCCAACUUCUUCAAACUUUCUAAACAGAGAAAAUCGAGAUCAACAACUAGCUACAAAAGCGGCUGAAGCUGAAGGAGGUGGUGUAAUGGAGCUUAUAGCAAAUCCUCGUACAAAUACCAUGUAUUUACCUGGUCAACUUACGCAUCAGCGCUUUGUCUCUCAUGAUUUAGUUUUUACCGCAUGUUUUGUGCAUGUUGACAAUUCGAAGCAAUUUCGCACGAGGGUUUUAAUUAAUAAAUAGGAAAUCUACAACUAAAACGUUGUCGUGUAGAAAUCUUACACAGCAGAUUGGUAAUAAUGUGUGAUUUUUACUUUUGGGGUUUUACCUAGAGGUGACGUAAUUGGAGGAGCAAAGAGAGUGAACUGUCAUUUGACCCGACCCGUGCUAACAUUUUUCUAGGUCGAGAGUUCGCCGCACGUGCUUAGAUUAUCGACAAACUAAUGCAAUUCAUUGGUGUAAAAUGUAAAUAUUGAACAUGCUACUAAUGUAAAUAUUAGUCACGAUUAGUUAAAUAAUUGAAACUUAAUUUUUGGAUCA